UACGUAGGGAGCAAGCGUUGUUCGGAUUUACUGGGCGUAAAGGGCGCGUAGGCGGCGCGGUAAGUCACUUGUGAAAUCUCUGAGCUUAACUCAGAACGGCCAAGUGAUACUGCAGUGCUAGAGUGCAGAAGGGGCAAUCGGAAUUCUUGGUGUAGCGGUGAAAUGCGUAGAUAUCAAGAGGAACACCGGUGGCGAAGGCGGCAUCCUGGACCGGUAUUGACGCUGAGGCGCGAAAGCCAGGGGAGCAAACGGG
rnacentral:rRNA from 1 species